rnacentral:rRNA from 1 species
UUCGAUUUAUAUGUUGCAAUAGAUACGUCUUUAGUCUGAUGGUGAACGCGUGCAUUUUUCUUCUGGUAGGACGUUGCGAUCCGUUAGAAAAGYACUAUCAUCGAUCUAUGAUUAAUGGUUAAAGUUCAUUGAUACAUAUUUACCAUAUGUUAAUAUUAAUGAUACCAUAUAAUCUGAUUGAUUUGUCUGACGGUAGAUGAAAGGUUAAAGGUCGCUAUUCUAUUAGCGUUAGAGGCAAGACAAAUGUAUAAAUUGUGUAAAAGCCAUUAAUAUUAUUUAUAGUGUUAAUGGUCUCGCUAAUCGGUAUUUAUAUCAAUUACGAGCCUUUUGUAUAUUGUUAGUCGAGCARUUCUCUAACAGACUUUAUUAUUUUAAAUAAAACCAAUCAGCAACGCUAUAGCUUUGGGUACUUUCAGGACCCGUCUUGAAACACGGACCAAGGAGUCUAGCAUGUACGCAAGCCAUUGGGAUUUAARAAACCUAUAGGCAAAAUGAAAGUAAAAAUGAGUUUAUUUUUAUAAAUUUAAGGGAAGAUGAAUGAUAUUUCUACGAAAUAUGAUUUCGCAUUCCCGGGGCGUUUAUAUUUUGUUUGUUUGUUCUGCAUUCAAAUGAGAUUAUGCGCACCAAGAGUGUACACGCUGGGACCCGAAAGAUGGUGAACUAUGCCUGGUCAGGACGAAGUCAGGGGAAACCCUGAUGGAGGUCCGUAGCGAUUCUGACGUGCAAAUCGAUCGUCGGAAC